rnacentral:rRNA from 1 species
AGCGAAAUACGUAGCACGUUGAAUACACCAGUUCUCGUCCGCUGACUGAAGUUAAGCAAUGUCGUGCGUUGUCGGUACUUGGAUGGGUGGUAAUCUGGGAAACCACGUGUUGUUGCCC